rnacentral:rRNA from 1 species
UACGUAGGGUGCGAGCGUUGUCCGGAUUUAUUGGGCGUAAAGAGCGUGUAGGCGGCUUUACAGGUCCGUUGUGAAAACUCGAGGCUCAACCUCGAGACGCCGGUGGAAACCGUAAGGCUAGAGUCCGGAAGAGGAGAGUGGAAUUCCUGGUGUAGCGGUGAAAUGCGUAGAGAUCGGGAGGAACACCAGUGGCGAAGGCGGCUAUCUGGACCAGCACUGACACUCAGGCACGAAAGCGUGGGGAGCAAACAGG